UACAGAGGUCUCAAGCGUUGUUCGGAUUCAUUGGGCGUAAAGGGUGUGUAGGUGGCGCGCUAAGUCGGGUGUGAAAUUUCGGAGCUUAACUCCGAAACUGCAUUCGAUACUGCGGUGCUUGAGGACUGGAGGGGAGACUGGAAUUCAUGGUGUAGCAGUGAAAUGCGUAGAGAUCAUGAGGAAGACCAGUGGCGAAGGCGGGUCUCUGGACAGUUCCUGACACUGAGGCACGAAGGCCAGGGGAGCAAACGGG
rnacentral:rRNA from 1 species